rnacentral:miRNA from 1 species
ACAACGAGGGUGAAGAUUGCGUG